rnacentral:tRNA from 1 species
GGAUAUAGGUCAGUGGUGGAGCACGUGCUUAGCAUGCACGAGGUCCUGGGUUCAAUCCCCAGUACCUCCA